rnacentral:lncRNA from 1 species
UAACCCCAGAAACACUCCUCAUUUCACAAUCAUCUCUGUCUCUAAACCAAAACCUAGCCGCCCCCAAACCCCUCGUUGGCUCCGCCCUGCUUCGCCGCCCGAAAAUCGCCUUACGGCGGAGGAGCUUCACAAAUCAAUCCAAAUUCAUACCUCAUAACCCUGAUAUCUUCCCAAACACCAUCCUACUAUUCCAUUUCCCCAAAUCCAUCAAUUUUAGAUCUAAAAAUCGGACCCAAACCCAAACUUCUCCAAAUCAACCCAAACUUCACCAUGCAAUAUCCUCCUCCUCCUCAUCUUCCCAAAUAUCCCUUUGAUUCCUCUCAAAUCAGCCCCAGCCUCGUUGAAUCUUAAAUCCAAGAUUCUGAAACCCUAAUUGUCCCUGCUCGAGUUUUAUUUAAGGUGGGGUUAUAUGAACCCAAAGCGCCCAUUAGCCGAUUGUUCUCAACAAAGAACUGUCGAGUAAUGGACAAACAAGUUCAUAUUUCCCCCAUUUCAAGUCUGGCCGAGUUCGAAGCUGCCUACGCCAAAGUCUCAGGUCCUUUCUUCUUAUUUUUCUUUUCCUCAUUCUUGAUAUAUGUCUCAUCUUUAUAUUUUUUUUAUGAACAAAAAAGGUUCUAUUUCAAAUAACCAGUAAUUAGGUUUUCCCUUAUGUUUAAUUUUCUUACAUGUUCAUCUGUUCUGUUGUUUGUUUUCUUCUGUCGAUUAGGUUUAAUUUGUAGUUAAUUGUCAACUAAUUGGUUAGUUUAUGGUUUUAGACUUCUUAUUCCCUUGUUAAUUAGUUCUUAAUAUUCUAUAAUUAGUCAAUUUUAGUUUUCAGUAAAUCAUGCAAGUCUAGGAGUUGAAAUUGUUGAUUAAGUUUGAUUCUAGACUUAAUUGAUUUAGCCUUAGAAACAUUAGUUUAGCUGAUAAUCCUUAGAUUUUUCUUGGUUUCACCACCUUGAUAUGUUUUGUGUAAAAUAGAGGUUUUAAAAUUCAGUUUAGCCAUUUAAGUUUAGUCUUGUUUUGAUUAGAUAAACACUCUUUUAGUUCAAAUUGCAUCAUCUCUUCUAUUUUUGUUUCUGCUGACAUUUUUCAAUUUGUAUUUUUCUGAUUUGUUGAUAGAUUUUUGUUUCGGUUUGCCCUAGUCUAUAAAUCAUUAGAACUUAUAGGGACCUAAUUGAACUAAAAGAGAACUUAGGACAAUUUUCAGAAAUAUCUAGGAAGAGAAAGUUUCCAGAAAUGGUACAGAUGUCCUAGCUGUUACAAAAGACGCUGAAAUAGGGUAAGGAGGACAGCUGUAUUGUACUAUUUUUCAGACUUUAGGAUAAGGAAUAUUCCCUAAAAAUAUCCAUUCUAGGCAGCCUAUAUAUAGACUCUCAUUCUGAAAUUGACACAAAUUCAGCAUCAUUUUACUGCACAAAAGUUCUCUUUUCCUUUAUGAAAAAGAUGAGAUUUCACAAAUUUUAGAAAAAUAUUCAAAACUUCUUAUUAUUGGUUUUACAAGCUGAAACACAUGGUUUGAAGUAAAGAAUUUUUCUUGGGUUCUUUAGCUGGGUUUUCUAGUUUCAAAGCUGGUUGGAUUUGAUUUAAAUUUCUGAUUUCUUUUGGGCUGUUGUUGCUAUUUUUUGAUUUCUGCUCCUUCAAGCUUCAGUUGACUUUCUUUGUUCACCUGCUUACUUGCCGGUUUUAUUGAUGUUUGUUCAAGGUACUAUGCUUGACCUUUUUUCAUGUAAAGCUCUUAUUUGAAAUGAUAUGAAACUGAAGCUGCUAGAAUUCAUAUGAUAAUGCAUUCUCAUGAUUAACUUGUGAUUGUGUUGAUUGGAUUUGAUUAGUUUUUGUUUUAUGAGAUUUUGAUUUGGUCAGUUUGUUUAAAAGAACCUUAUAGUCUCUCCUUUUAGAAGUAACUUUGUGUGAAAAUGUCUUUUGGUCUGCAGAUUUGGCCACCAGUUGGCCCAAAUCAGCUAGAUCUAAACUAAAGAUAGGAUUCUGCUGGUUAAAUUUAUGCUGAAACUAGUAUUUUCCAUGAGGUGGAUCAACUUGUGAUGGACAAAUCAUGUCCAAAAGAGGCAAGGAUUGGUUGGGUUGCUGAAAAAUAUAAUAGAGUAGUUUACAUAAUAGUUUAUGUGUGUAAUAGAUCUAAUGCAGCAUGUUUGGGAUUUUUCUAAAAAAAAUGUCUUCUUUUAUUUGUUAUUUAUUCGGGACUGUAAUAAAUCAGAUUUUUAUAUCAUGUUUAAGGAUCAAAAUAUUUGCUUUAGGAGUACAUUUGUUUGUCAUUCCAUUAUCACCAUUGUGGUGGAACAGGCCAAGUUAUGAGCCUUAUCUGUAAGGAUAAAGGGCUAUCCUCUAAUUCAAUUGGGCUGAAGCUAUGAGUAAGCCCAGAUGAAAAAAUACCAAAGAAUUUAGGCUUAGGCCAUUUGGCCUGAGCCACAAGCCUGAAAAUUUAUCUUUCACCCGUAAAAGUUCCUUGUAUCUGUCAUAUUGUAAAUAUAUGUUUUUAUGCAUCUUGUAAACCAUGUAAUCAAUUGAUGAAUUAGAGCUAUGUUGUAUAUCCUGAUUUUAUUUAAAAGCAAG